rnacentral:pre_miRNA from 1 species
UUCGCCAGCCAUUCACAAAAUUUUUUUUUCGUUCCAAAGAAAAUUGUGUGAAUGGCUUGCGAAAG